rnacentral:rRNA from 1 species
CUCCGGUUGAUCCCGCCGGACCCGACUGCUAUCAGAGUGGGACUAAGCCAUGCGAGUCAACAUAGCAAUAUGUGGCAUACGGCUCAGUAACACGUAGUCAACAUGCCCAGGGGACGUGGAUAACCUCGGGAAACUGAGGAUAAACCGCGAUAGGCCAAGAUUUCUGGAAUGGAUAAUGGCUGAAAUCUAUAUGGCCCCUGGAUUGGACUGCGGCCGAUCAGGCUGUUGGUGAGGUAAUGGCCCACCAAACCUGUAACCGGUACGGGCUCUGAGAGGAGGAGCCCGGAGAUGGGCACUGAGACAAGGGCCCAGGCCCUAUGGGGCGCAGCAGGCGCGAAACCUCUGCAAUAGGCGAAAGCUUGACAGGGUUACUCUGAGUGAUGUCCGUUAAGGGCAUCUUUUGGCACUUCUAAAAAUAGUGUAGAAUAAGGGGUGGGCAAGUCUGGUGUCAGCCGCCGCGGUAAUACCAGCACCCCGAGUGGUCGGGACGUUUAUUGGGCCUAAAGCAUCCGUAGCCGGUUCUACAAGUCUUCCGUUAAAUCCACCUGCUUAACAGAUAGGCUGCGGAAGAUACUAUAGAGCUAGGAGGCGGGAGAGGCAAGCGGUACUCGAUGGGUAGGGGUAAAAUCCGUUGAUCCAUUGAAGACCACCAGUGGCGAAGGCGGCUUGCCAGAACGCGCUCGACGGUGAGGGAUGAAAGCUGGGGGAGCAAACCGGAUUAGAUACCCGGGUAGUCCCAGCUGUAAACGAUGCAGACUCGGUGAUGAGUUGGCUUAUUGCUAACUCAGUGCCGCAGGGAAGCCGUUAAGUUUGCCGCCUGGGGACUACGGUCGCAAGACUGAAACUUAAAGGAAUUGGCGGGGGAGCA